rnacentral:rRNA from 1 species
UACGGAGGGGGCUAGCGUUGUUCGGAAUCACUGGGCGUAAAGGGUGCGUAGGCGGGUUUUUAAGUCCGGGGUGAAAUCCUGGAGCUCAACUCCAGAACUGCCUUUGAUACUGAAGAUCUUGAGUCCGGGAGAGGUGAGUGGAACUGCGGGUGUAGAGGUGAAAUUCGUAGAUAUUCGCAAGAACACCAGUGGCGAAGGCGGCUCACUGGCCCGGUACUGACGCUGAGGCACGAAAGCGUGGGGAGCAAACAGG